CCUACGGGAGGCAGCAGUGAGGAAUAUUGGUCAAUGGGCGAGAGCCUGAACCAGCCAAGUCGCGUGAGGGAGUACUGCCCUAUGGGUUGUAAACCGCUUUUGUCGGGGAGCAAAAGCCGGACGUGUCCGGCUGUGAGAGUACCCGAAGAAAAAGCAUCGGCCAACUCCGUGCCAGCAGCCGCGGUAAUACGGAGGAUGCGAGCGUUAUCCGGAUUUAUUGGGUUUAAAGGGUGCGCAGGCGGAUUUUUAAGUAAGCGGUAAAAUCGUGGGGGUUAACCCCAUCCAGCCGUUGAAACUGGGGAUCUAGAGUGUGCGAGAGGUAUGCGGAAUGCGUGGUGUAGCGGUGAAAUGCAUAGAUAUCACGCAGAACCCCGAUUGCGAAGGCAGCAUACCGGUGCACAACUGACGCUCAGGCACGAAAGCGUGGGUAUCGAACAGGAUUAGAUACCCUGGUAGUC
rnacentral:rRNA from 1 species